rnacentral:rRNA from 1 species
AGAGUUUGAUCAUGGCUCAGGACGAACGCUGGCGGCGUGCUUAACACAUGCAAGUCGAACGAGGUCCAUCUUGGUGGCAACACCUUGGUGUACCUAGUGGCGAACGGGUGAGUAACACGUGAGGAACCUGCCCCGAAGACCGGGAUAACCAGGGGAAACCCUGGCUAAUACCGGAUGCCCUCACCGGACCGCAUGAUCUGGUGAGGAAAUGGAUUCCGCUUCGGGAGGGCCUCGCGGCCUAUCAGCUUGUUGGUGGGGUAACGGCCCACCAAGGCGUCGACGGGUAGCUGGUCUGAGAGGACGAUCAGCCACACUGGGACUGAGACACGGCCCAGACUCCUACGGGAGGCAGCAGUAGGGAAUCUUGCGCAAUGGGCGAAAGCCUGACGCAGCAACGCCGCGUGCGGGAUGAAGGCCUUCGGGUUGUAAACUGCUUUUGUUAGGGAAUAAACCUUCUUACGUGUAAGGAGCUGAAUGUACCUAAAGAAUAAGGAUCGGCUAACUCCGUGCCAGCAGCCGCGGUAAUAC